GGGUGACUAGCUCAAUGGUAGAGCAUAGGACUCUUAAUCCUCUGGUUUUGGGUUCGAGUCCCAAGUCACCCACUA
rnacentral:tRNA from 1 species